rnacentral:lncRNA from 10 species
UUGGUAUGACAAGAUUUUAUUAAAAAUACAUGAGAUAAAAAAAGAUUAUUUGGGGACAACAAAUAAAUGCGAUGAUGUAAAUUAAUCAGCAAUUUCUCCCAAUAAGCCAAACCAACCCAGACAGUCCACCCAUGUUAUCUGACCACUGUCAGCUGAGGAACCCAAAGCCCAGACCACAGAAUAGUUGACUAAAGUAUUUUCCAAACAUACAGAUGCUGUUUUGGGGGUGAGACAUUUCAAAAUCAGACAUACCAGUUCUUUAUGAUAAUUUCGUUUUUGGUAGAGGAAGAUAAACUUUGUGGCUGGUAGAAAAAUUCUGGAUACCUUCUAGAUGCUUAAAAAAUACAGGUUGGAAGAAGUCUCUAUUUUUGUUACACAUCCCAAUUUCCAAAAUUUUUUGGAUUUCUUCGAGCUAGUAAGAUGCUGGCAUCAUAUGAACCCUUGCGUAGCAUUGUAAAUAUUUUAAUAGGAAAAAGGACUCACUGCAAGUUAUCACAGCUUUCUGGCUGAUUACUGUGAAAGAUCUUGCUUGUUUUGACCAAAUCUGCCCAGAAGAGUUUUAAUGUCCAGCACUAAGUAGAUAGAGUUCUUACUAGCUUCUGAAUGACAGUUUUAUAAGGCCACAUUUUUUAAAAAUUGCAUUGAAUCCACGAGCUUGUUUUUCCCCUGUGUAUGUAAAGCUUGGUUACAUUGUGGAAUCUUUUCUGAAACUAACUUUAUCUGCAUAUUUUUGGUCUCUGUAGAUGAAAAAUGUUAGUGCUGGAAAAUUCCUGGACAGUGAUUUUAGAGGUGCAUGACCAUAAAAGCAAAGUAUUUCCUUCUUUUCACUGCUUGACUUAACAAAAUAAACUCAUUUUAGUUUUAUAAAAUGUAGGCAAUAAUUCAAUUGUAAAGGACCCUUAAUUUUACUUUAAAUGAUUUAAUCUUUUGCCUUUACAUAACCUUUUAGUAUUAUCUUUUAAUAAAAAGGAUAGGCUGUAUAAUGGUACUUUUGGCAUUGUAAAGAGGAUUUGAAAAUAUCAUUUUCAACCCAAUAUAUAUUUCAUGCUAAGUACAUGGACAGGAAUAUAAUUAUUGGAGAAUAAUUAUAUUAAGCUUCCAAUCAGAAGGCUGAAUGUGCUGAUCCUCAUUCUUUCACUGACUUCAUUCUUUUUCCAAGUUUAUUGUGCUAUGCCAAGGUUUCUCACCUAUGAAAGGGGCCUCUCAAAGGAAACAACACAUUGGCUAUUUGGUUCUUAGGUAAACAGGCCAUGACUGUACUGAAUCUGCUGGUCUUUUCUCCAAUCCCUCUUUGCCAUAUCAACUGAUUUCUCCACUGUUGAUUGAAUCAGCUCUGCAGACAAUCCAAUUUUGUCAUUAAGACAGC